rnacentral:rRNA from 1 species
AUUGAACGCUGGCGGCAGGCCUAACACAUGCAAGUCGAGCGGAUGAAGGGAGCUUGCUCCUGGAUUCAGCGGCGGACGGGUGAGUAAUGCCUAGGAAUCUGCCUGGUAGUGGGGGAUAACGUCCGGAAACGGGCGCUAAUACCGCAUACGUCCUGAGGGGGAAAGUGGGUGAUCUUCGGACCUCACGCUAUCAGAUGAGCCUAGGUCGGAUUAGCUAGUUGGUGGGGUAAAGUCCUACCAAGGCGACGAUCCGUAACUGGUCUGAGAGGAUGAUCAGUCACACUGGAACUGAGACACGGUCCAGACUCCUACGGGAGGCAGCAGUGGGGAAUAUUGGACAAUGGGCGAACGCCUGAUCCAGCCAUGCCGCGUGUGUGAAGAAGGUCUUCGGAUUGUAAAGCACUUUAAGUUGGGAGGAAGGGCAGUAAGUUAAUACCUUGCUGUUUUGACGUUACCAACAGAAUAAGCACCGGCUAACUUCGUG